rnacentral:rRNA from 1 species
CCUACGGGUGGCUGCAGUGGGGAAUAUUGCACAAUGGGCGCAAGCCUGAUGCAGCCAUGCCGCGUGUGUGAAGAAGGCCUUCGGGUUGUAAAGCACUUUCAGCGGGGAGGAAGGCGUUAAGGUUAAUAACCUUGUCGAUUGACGUUACCCGCAGAAGAAGCACCGGCUAACUCCGUGCCAGCAGCCGCGGUAAUACGGAGGGUGCAAGCGUUAAUCGGAAUUACUGGGCGUAAAGCGCACGCAGGCGGUCUGUCAAGUCGGAUGUGAAAUCCCCGGGCUCAGCCUGGGAACUGCAUUCGAAACUGGCAGGCUAGAGUCUUGUAGAGGGGGGUAGAAUUCCAGGUGUAGCGGUGAAAUGCGUAGAGAUCUGGAGGAAUACCGGUGGCGAAGGCGGCCCCCUGGACAAAGACUGACGCUCAGGUGCGAAAGCGUGGGGAGCAAACAGGAUUAGAUACCCGUGUAGUC